CCCAAGGAUGUAGAAGAAGACCCACCCUAGGGUGGGUCAUCACAUCAAAGUAUAAAAGGGGCCUCCCCUUUUAUACUUCAUCCCAGGAAGGACGAAUUCAUUCCAUUCUUGCGAGAAACUCCAGUCUUUGCCUUUGGUUUGGACCUGCCUCCUGGCUUCCAGUAUAGACUCUUCAGCUUUCCAGCGUAGACUCUUCAGCCUUUCAUCACAGAGCCUUCAGCCUUCUGUCACAAACCCAUCAGCCUGCUGGUGUGGACUUGCACAAGACACUAGGGUGAACUCCAGACCUUGGAUUGAAUCCUUCGGCUUCCAGUGCAUAGACACCUGCUGCAGGCUUCCUCAUCGGACUCUGUGACUGACUAUUGCAUAUGAUCAAGACAUUCCCUGUUCAAGGCCCACAAAGAAAAGGUUCCUGGUUGGGUGCCAGGAUGGAAGAUGAAGAAAUGAGGACAAGAGUUAGAAUACAGAAAGCUGAGGUGGGGUAGAACCCUCUUUCCUGGAGGGAGAAAAGGAACUGCCCAAUGACUGCAAGGCAUUGACUCUUACAAUCAGCAAGAAGUUGACAGCAGGUGCAACCUGAUUAGAAAAAUGUCCGGAGCCGCUUCCGUCCCGCGGAAUGGAGCACACGAACACUCAGCCUCUGCAAGCACCUUUAUUGACUGGGCAGCAACCUCAAUACAUGUCCGUCCUCGACGGCUUCUUCCGUGUUGUGCGUCGGGCACUUCCUAUACUUGGGCUUAUAUAGCUAAUGUUAUCCAAUCAUGGGAUUACACGGGACAGGCAAUUGGGCGGCAACAAGGAAGCAAUCAAUCAUUACCAUAUAUGGCGGGGACAGUAAGCCGAGCAAGAACCAGGAAGCAGGAUGUGUGUGCCAUCUUGGGCACACGAUGGGUGGGGGAGCAGCGGAGGCGGCAGGCGGGUGCCAUCUUAUGAAUAUGCUCUCAUGAAUAACAUGGCAGGCUCCC